UACAGAGGGCGCGAGCGUUGUCCGGAAUCACUGGGCGUAAAGGGCGCGUAGGUGGCCACCAUAAGGCCGCGGUGAAAGUUCGGGGCUCAACCCCGGAUCGGCCGCGGCGACUGUGGGGCUCGGGUACUGUAGAGGCAGAUGGAAUUCCGGGUGUAGCGGUGGAAUGCGUAGAGAUCCGGAAGAACACCAGUGGCGAAGGCGGUCUGCUGGGCCGAUAUCGACGCUGAGGAGCGAAAGCGUGGGGGAGCGAACAGG
rnacentral:rRNA from 1 species